GGUUAAGCGACUAAGCGUACACGGUGGAUGCCCUGGCAGUCAGAGGCGAUGAAGGACGUGCUAAUCUGCGAUAAGCGUCGGUAAGGUGAUAUGAACCGUUAUAACCGGCGAUUUCCGAAUGGGGAAACCCAGUGUGUUUCGACACACUAUCAUUAACUGAAUCCAUAGGUUAAUGAGGCGAACCGGGGGAACUGAAACAUCUAAGUACCCCGAGGAAAAGAAAUCAACCGAGAUUCCCCCAGUAGCGGCGAGCGAACGGGGAGCAGCCCAGAGCCUGAAUCAGUGUGUGUGUUAGUGGAAGCGUCUGGAAAGGCGCGCGAUACAGGGUGACAGCCCCGUACACAAAAAUGCACAUGCUGUGAGCUCGAUGAGUAGGGCGGGACACGUGGUAUCCUGUCUGAAUAUGGGGGGACCAUCCUCCAAGGCUAAAUACUCCUGACUGACCGAUAGUGAACCAGUACCGUGAGGGAAAGGCGAAAAGAACCCCGGCGAGGGGAGUGAAAAAGAACCUGAAACCGUGUACGUACAAGCAGUGGGAGCACGCUUAGGCGUGUGACUGCGUACCUUUUGUAUAAUGGGUCAGCGACUUAUAUUCUGUAGCAAGGUUAACCGAAUAGGGGAGCCGAAGGGAAACCGAGUCUUAACUGGGCGUUAAGUUGCAGGGUAUAGACCCGAAACCCGGUGAUCUAGCCAUGGGCAGGUUGAAGGUUGGGUAACACUAACUGGAGGACCGAACCGACUAAUGUUGAAAAAUUAGCGGAUGACUUGUGGCUGGGGGUGAAAGGCCAAUCAAACCGGGAGAUAGCUGGUUCUCCCCGAAAGCUAUUUAGGUAGCGCCUCGUGAAUUCAUCUCCGGGGGUAGAGCACUGUUUCGGCAAGGGGGUCAUCCCGACUUACCAACCCGAUGCAAACUGCGAAUACCGGAGAAUGUUAUCACGGGAGACACACGGCGGGUGCUAACGUCCGUCGUGAAGAGGGAAACAACCCAGACCGCCAGCUAAGGUCCCAAAGUCAUGGUUAAGUGGGAAACGAUGUGGGAAGGCCCAGACAGCCAGGAUGUUGGCUUAGAAGCAGCCAUCAUUUAAAGAAAGCGUAAUAGCUCACUGGUCGAGUCGGCCUGCGCGGAAGAUGUAACGGGGCUAAACCAUGCACCGAAGCUGCGGCAGCGACGCUGAUGCGUUGUUGGGUAGGGGAGCGUUCUGUAAGCCUGCGAAGGUGUGCUGUGAGGCAUGCUGGAGGUAUCAGAAGUGCGAAUGCUGACAUAAGUAACGAUAAAGCGGGUGAAAAGCCCGCUCGCCGGAAGACCAAGGGUUCCUGUCCAACGUUAAUCGGGGCAGGGUGAGUCGACCCCUAAGGCGAGGCCGAAAGGCGUAGUCGAUGGGAAACAGGUUAAUAUUCCUGUACUUGGUGUUACUGCGAAGGGGGGACGGAGAAGGCUAUGUUGGCCGGGCGACGGUUGUCCCGGUUUAAGCGUGUAGGCUGGUUUUCCAGGCAAAUCCGGAAAAUCAAGGCUGAGGCGUGAUGACGAGGCACUACGGUGCUGAAGCAACAAAUGCCCUGCUUCCAGGAAAAGCCUCUAAGCAUCAGGUAACAUCAAAUCGUACCCCAAACCGACACAGGUGGUCAGGUAGAGAAUACCAAGGCGCUUGAGAGAACUCGGGUGAAGGAACUAGGCAAAAUGGUGCCGUAACUUCGGGAGAAGGCACGCUGAUAUGUAGGUGAAGUCCCUCGCGGAUGGAGCUGAAAUCAGUCGAAGAUACCAGCUGGCUGCAACUGUUUAUUAAAAACACAGCACUGUGCAAACACGAAAGUGGACGUAUACGGUGUGACGCCUGCCCGGUGCCGGAAGGUUAAUUGAUGGGGUUAGCCGCAAGGCGAAGCUCUUGAUCGAAGCCCCGGUAAACGGCGGCCGUAACUAUAACGGUCCUAAGGUAGCGAAAUUCCUUGUCGGGUAAGUUCCGACCUGCACGAAUGGCGUAAUGAUGGCCAGGCUGUCUCCACCCGAGACUCAGUGAAAUUGAACUCGCUGUGAAGAUGCAGUGUACCCGCGGCAAGACGGAAAGACCCCGUGAACCUUUACUAUAGCUUGACACUGAACAUUGAGCCUUGAUGUGUAGGAUAGGUGGAAGGCUUAGAAGUGUGGACGCCAGUCUGCAUGGAGCCGACCUUGAAAUACCACCCUUUAAUGUUUGAUGUUCUAACGUGGACCCGUAAUCCGGGUUGCGGACAGUGUCUGGUGGGUAGUUUGACUGGGGCGGUCUCCUCCUAAAGAGUAACGGAGGAGCACGAAGGUUGGCUAAUCCUGGUCGGACAUCAGGAGGUUAGUGCAAUGGCAUAAGCCAGCUUGACUGCGAGCGUGACGGCGCGAGCAGGUGCGAAAGCAGGUCAUAGUGAUCCGGUGGUUCUGAAUGGAAGGGCCAUCGCUCAACGGAUAAAAGGUACUCCGGGGAUAACAGGCUGAUACCGCCCAAGAGUUCAUAUCGACGGCGGUGUUUGGCACCUCGAUGUCGGCUCAUCACAUCCUGGGGCUGAAGUAGGUCCCAAGGGUAUGGCUGUUCGCCAUUUAAAGUGGUACGCGAGCUGGGUUUAGAACGUCGUGAGACAGUUCGGUCCCUAUCUGCCGUGGGCGCUGGAGAACUGAGGGGGGCUGCUCCUAGUACGAGAGGACCGGAGUGGACGCAUCACUGGUGUUCGGGUUGUCAUGCCAAUGGCACUGCCCGGUAGCUAAAUGCGGAAGAGAUAAGUGCUGAAAGCAUCUAAGCACGAAACUUGCCCCGAGAUGAGUUCUCCCUGACCCUUUAAGGGUCCUGAAGGAACGUUGAAGACGACGACGUUGAUAGGCCGGGUGUGUAAGCGCAGCGAUGCGUUGAGCUAACCGGUACUAAUGAACCGUGAGGCUUAACCUU
rnacentral:rRNA from 1 species